rnacentral:misc_RNA from 1 species
GAUGAAGAACGCAGCGAAAUGCGAUAAGUAAUGUGAAUUGCAGAAUUCAGUGAAUCAUCGAAUCUUUGAACGCACAAUGCGCCCGCCAGCACUCUGGCGGGCAUGCCUGUUCGAGCGUCAUUUCAACCAUCAAGCCCCCAGGGGCUUGUGCUGGGGCCCUGCGGCUGCCCGCAGGCCCUGAAAACCAGUGGCGGGCUCGCUAGUCACACCGAGCGCAGUAGCACAUCUCGCUCAGGGCGUGCGGCGGGCUCCUGCCGUGAAACCCCCCACUGUAACCCCAAAGGUUGACCUCGGAUCAGGUAGGAAUACCCGCUGAACUUAAGCAUAUCAAUAAGCGGAGGA